rnacentral:misc_RNA from 1 species
AAGUCGUAACAAGGUUUCCGUAGGUGAACCUGCGGAAGGAUCAAUGCGAGUGAAGCCAUGUGUGUAGUAUGUAGGAAUGUGUGUGUAGAGCGAGAGAGAGUGUAUACAAUGAUGACUCAUUUCAUAUUUUACGACUUGCCACCCGGGAUCUCUGGGCUCUC